rnacentral:rRNA from 1 species
UACGAAGGGGGCUAGCGUUGUUCGGAAUCACUGGGCGUAAAGGGCGCGUAGGCGGCGCGACAAGUCAGGCGUGAAAGCCCCGGGCUCAACCCGGGAAUUGCGCUUGAUACUGUCGUGCUUGAGGCCGGGAGAGGAUGGCGGAAUUCCCAGUGUAGAGGUGAAAUUCGUAGAUAUUGGGAAGAACACCGGUGGCGAAGGCGGCCAUCUGGACCGGUUCUGACGCGUGAGGCGCGAAAGCGUGGGGAGCAAACAGG